GGAGGACUGGAGGAGGUUCCUGCGGCCUUCUCCACCAGGGGGCGUUCAGGAACUUCGUGGUGGGCGUGGUCGGCGGAUCCUGCCGGCACACCUGCUGCCACUUACCUUGUUGGGAGGAGUAUUUCAGGAGGACAUCGUCAACACUCUUGUGCCAGAGUGUUAGCUCGUAAAUGGUUUUCGUUGCCGCGGAGCUGCCGGCAUCCUGUCCGUCCGGAUUCCCUGUGGCCGGAGGAAUCAUCGAGACCACACAACCUGAUCCUCCUUGUUUCCCGAAGAGCUUGUCUCACCUGUCCGCCCUCCAACGCCGCCGUCGCCCGUCCUCUCUGCUCCAACCCCUGAUCCACCGUGCUGCCUAUCCCUCUCAGCUCCGCUUAUCCACCAGCAAGUAAGGCCUCGAACCGCUGCACUUCCGUUUCCCUCCCGGCAUUCUGUUCUCACUUUUGUGUUCCUCUUCAGGAGGACCAUUGGUCCGGUUCCGCCCUCCCGAGUGUCCCAUCCUGGAUGUCUUUCACAUUUUACACCGUGUUUAUAAUAAACCACUGAUCUUACCUUGGUCUCUCUAGUGUGUUCUGCGCAUGUGGGUUAAUCAAGUAAACCAAAACAUGACA